GGGCGGCUAGCUCAGCUGGCCAGAGCACUCGCCUUACAAGCGAGGGGUCGUAGGUUCAAGUCCUACGCCGCCCACCA
rnacentral:tRNA from 1 species